UCUUAUAUAUACUCAAUUUUGCAUCAGUACACACGUCAUCGUCAUUGUCAUGUAUUGGUCGGUAUUAUCAAACGCUUUCGUCCAUCACAUCAACUGUUUCCAAAGGCCAAACAGGAGAUAAAUUGGGUUCUCAUGAGUGCUCUUUUAGGUUCAUGGUACAGAAGAAGGGUCAAACUACCACCAGGGUCAUAAAACUGUCCUUGGAAAUGCCCAAAAUGCCUAUGAAAGCCUUGCCAAGUAUGUGUGCUUGGGUGCCAAAAUGUUGAGUUAUACAGCCCAUUAUUUCUCUGCUAUAGGAUGAAGGUCUUUCACAACUCUUUUUGGCAGCUCCUCUAUACUUUAUUUUAUUGGAGCAGAGAUUAGUGUUUUUUUCCCCCUGGAGUUGCUUCCUUUAAUGAAAACAAAGUCCAUUUGUCUCUGUGUCUGAUGUUAAUACACUUCAUCCUGCCCCACAAAGCUUCUAAUUCCACGUCCUGCUUCUCUGUCUGCCCUGACUUACACGCUGGCUGGGUGCUUUGGUUCCUCAGCUGUUGUGAGGUGCAUGAGAUGAAGUGCACAAGUCCAAGCCUCACCUUUCAUAGGCACCAGGACACCUUUAACCUUUGUCUGUUCCCUGGUCCAGGACACUCAAGGCCUGUCUCCCCAUGUUGUGCCUGGCAUUCUUCUCCAUUCAGCUUGGCACAUUUCUUAACUUCUCUCUGGAUCUUGUGUGAGGUGCAGAGUUUAUGAAGCACAUUUUAGGGCUGGGAAUAUGCACAGACUGCACCCUUCUCCUCAGGGAGAGGGGCAGGUUUAUAGUCAUAAUAAUACAAUGUUUACCAAAAUUGUUCCACUCCAUUUCUCUCCUGAUUUCUUAUUCAUUCUGUAGGCCUGGUUUGCAGUAAUUAGGUAAAGUUUGGGGCACAUGUUACAAGUGUGCCUGGCUGUGGUGCUCAUCUCCAUCCCUCUGGCCCCUGAGCCAGCAGCGGGUAAGGACCCUUCAGCCCCAGGACAUGGCCACUACAGUAUCUGGGUCACCACAGCUGCCUUGCCCAGGUUCCCUUUUAUAGACCAACCCAAAAGGCAGGAUGAACAGCUGGGUGGGUCGUCAUUAUAACCCAGACCGGUGUGUUCAUAGCUAGCCGUCAACCUCUCCACCAAGGGAGCACACUGGUUGCUGUGUGUGUCUACUCUUUCAAAGCAAACACUGCCUGGGUCACUGUAACAGCAGCCUGCCCCUGUCCCUGCAGAGGAAGGUGUUCCGUCAGUGUAACAGGAGAAAGCUGAAAAUCAACCGCACGUGCAAGACAUGCCAGGCUCUGAUGUCCAGUGUGGAGGAGAUCGGAAUUCCUAUCAUGAGGGAGACACACAGCCGCACCACACCCUCACCGGACGCCAGCAAUCCUGUAGUCGCCACACCUCCAGGGAGCCACCAUCAAGCAGGACGACCACUCCGGAGCCAUCAUCAUCACCCGCAUCAUGCAUGGCUGACUGCUCCGGCCUCAUCCAUGCUGCCGACGAGGUGCAGGGGUCAACACCUUCAAUGUGGAGGGCAAGACACCGGCGGAUGUCCACAAGAUG